GGCGGCCUGCGAGUGUUUGUUAGCUGAAGAUGCCCACAGGGAAAUUUACACGCUCCCUUCGGCUGCUGUUUUUCUUUUCUGUACGCAAAAAUACAAUGUCUGUAGAAUCUGUCUGUUCCCUCUGGCAGAAGUCUGCUGUGUCUUUAAACGAAUGCUAACAAUACGGCUAAUAUCUGCUCCAGACCACCGGAGACGGCUCAGAAUGUCCCGCGCACCUGUGAGUCUCAUCGCAGGCAGUUGAGAGUCCAGGACGUCCUGCUGUAGGAUUCAUCUCUGCUCUGC